UUUUGAAUUUUUUGUUUUAGACAUAUGGCAUUUGCUAUCCCACUGUAAGUUAAAACUAGUUGUAAAAUUAAAAAAUUUAUAUUGGAACUUCUAUUUCUUUUAACAUUCAUGUUUAUUUAAUUGAGUUACAACUAAGGUUAUAUAUGAGUUAUUUAUACUAUCUUAGAAUUUGCUGCUUUAGAGGCACGGCAUUUAGUGUCACAUUACACGUGGCAUGUGGUAUCCCACUAUUACAACUAAGUUUGUGUAUGGC
rnacentral:lncRNA from 1 species